GUGGGGAAUAUUGGACAAUGGGCGCAAGCCUGAUCCAGCAAUGCCGCGUGCAGGAAGAAGGCCUUCGGGUUGUAAACUGCUUUUGUACGGAACGAAACGGUCCGGGUUAAUACCCUGGGCUAAUGACGGUACCGUAAGAAUAAGCACCGGCUAACUACGUGCCAGCAGCCGCGGUAAUACGUAGGGUGCAAGCGUUAAUCGGAAUUACUAGGCGUAAAGCGUGCGCAGGCGGUUUUGUAAGACAGGCGUGAAAUCCCCGGGCUCAACCUGGGAACUGCGCUUGUGACUGCAAGGCUGGAGUGCGGCAGAGGGGGAUGGAAUUCCGCGUGUAGCAGUGAAAUGCGUAGAUAUGCGGAGGAACACCGAUGGCGAAGGCAAUCCCCUGGGCCUGCACUGACGCUCAUGCACGAAAGCGUGGGGAGCAAACAGGAUUAGAUACCCUAGUAGUCC
rnacentral:rRNA from 1 species